GAUCACCUACGGGGGGAAGCAGUGGGGAAUAUUGCACAAUUGGGGAAACCCGGAUGCAGCGACGCCGCGUGAGUGAAGAAGUAUUUCGGUAUGUAAAGCUCUAUCAGCAGGAACGAGACAAGACGGUACCUGACUAAGAAGCCCCGGCUAACUACGUGCCAGCAGCCGCGGUAAUAGGUAGGGGGCAAGCGUUAUCCGGAAUCACUGGAUGUAAAGGGAGCGUAGACGGAUGUGCAAGCCUGAAGUGAAAGGCGUGGACCCAACCCCUGGACUGC
rnacentral:rRNA from 1 species